CGCCAUUUUGCCCAGGCUGGUCUCAAACUCCUGACCUCAAGUGAUCCACCAGCCUCGGCCUCUGGGAUUAAAGGCAUGAGCCACCGCGCCCUGCCCAUACUUCACUUUCUGAUCCUCCUCCACACAUAGGUCAUGUGUCCACUUGGAAACGAUCAAACACUAGUCAUGUCCCAAAGGAUGGGUUAUCAAAUCCUCAGACCAAACUAAUAGGUCCCUAAAUCUGCAGGUCACUCCCCGUUCCUCAAUUUCAUUUCUCUUUAUCCCGGUAAACACAUCUUCUGCUUUAGCCAAACACACUGCUUGCACAUACCACCUCAUUCGCUAGUUGUAUCAUCUCCCCCUUUUCCACCAAUAAUUCCCUUCACAACCCUGCUCAAAAUACACUUUCCCCAAGGAAGCACUUCUUGAUUACUGUUGCUGGAUAUGAACUCUUUUUUGUUAUUGUUUUCUCAUUAGUCUAUGUUACAGAGGCCUGCAGAGUUGUAUUUUCUUUCUCUCCCAUUCAUGGCCUCCCCCAACUUCCAACAGGCCUGUCUCAGGGCAUGCAGGGUAGGAAGGGAGCUGCAGACUGAUGCUGCUAACCAUCUCCCAGGCCUCCUGGGCCAAACCGCACCCGAAUCAACCCAGACCCCGCCUCACCCGUCAGUUCCCCAGUCAGCUGUCUCCACGGCGGCAUCGUCUGGGCCAAGGGAGAAUGACUAAGUGUCCCGCCUACACCCGGUGCUAAUCCAGCCAAAGCAGCCUGUUCCGACAUCCCUCCACUUGCCUUCAUUCCAUCAAGUCGGCUCCAUUCUCCAUCUGCCAUAAUUUCAAGUCCUUCACUGCGUCCCUGCCCAUCUGACACAUCAACUCGCCUCCCUCGCACCGCCCCUCGCCCAUACCCGGCACCCCCGCUCAUCCUGGCACCAUCCCAGUCACCCUGACAGGACAAACACUCGCGCGCAGCGACAAGUGCACUCCUCUCACCAGCCCGUUCCUGCCAGGUGAGCCACCACACACUCAACCUCGCCCACCCGAGACGGAGCCCCAGGCCCCCCACCGGACGCUUCCUCCCCAUCCAUUCCGGGUACCUCGGGCGGGCUCAUCACUCCGGGUCGCCAGUACGCCCUCGGCUGCCGCCGCCAUAGCGGACCCCGCGCUGUUUCCGGGCCGGGGUGCUGCGCAUGCGCACUGGGUGUGCCCCGCCCACCCGGCCGGCCCUGCAGUCCUGCGCCUAGCGGUCCAGUCCAGCCUCAGGUCUAUGACACAGCAAAGGGCGAUUCCGGAGCCGAAAUUGAAGCUACGCCAGGCUGUUGUGAAUUGAUCCACUGCCAACAGUCGCGACGUCUGGGACUGAGGGCGAGCUCAUCCCUACAGUCACACCCUGGAGGGAUCACUCAUCUUGUACCACUCACGACCCGUCUGGGAAUAGUCAACCCUGUUUGUGGCCUGCUGACCAAAACCACUGAAGACGGAUUGCCCGCUCUCCUGACACUCCGCACUGGAGUUAGUCAUCAAAAGAUUGCUCAGGGAAUCCAAAGUUUUACAGGUUGUCUCGUCCACACUUUGGGAAACCUUCAGGCAUUGAUCCCUGGUCCUAAAUACUGUCCCUCCCAAUGUCCUGAGUUAACACCAACUCACUGGCCCCUAUUUCUUAAACUGCAGGCAGGCAUCUACUUCUCUUCAGUUGAUACAGCCUUCCUUGAAGAAAGCUUAGACUGUAACUUUUUUAGGGCUGAGGAUACACUCUGGUUAUCUUAAUUGCAUUUAAGCUGUUUCACAAGCCUCCUAGGUGUACAGAGUACUUAAUGGGAUGGGAGAACAGGAGUGAGUGAAAGAGAUGGAUGAGAAGAAGUGACUGGGGAGCAAUUGAAGGUGCAAAAUGAGGAGGGAUAAAGGCCACAGAAGAAGGGAUAGGAGAUAUUCAGCAGGCCUCAGGCAGGCUCCUGGACACCCAAAAUCUUGGUAGUUUCUUUUCUUAUCCCUGGUUAUCCUCCCUCUGCACCCUCUCACCCCACCCCGAUGCCAGUACAUACACACACACGCCAGCUACCCCUUAUCCCCAGCCCUCCUACCCUGACUGUCUCCACCCUGAGGACUGAGUCUCACUUGUCACCUGUCCCCACUUUUCCUAUGGUGCAACCAUAGUAGCCACUAUUUCAAGCCAUUCCUGCGAGCCAGAAGUUCUUUUUUUUGAAACAGAGUCUCGCUCUGUCACCCAGGCUGGAGUACAGUAACGUGAUCUCGGCUCAGCUCACUGCAACCUCCACCUCCCGAGUUCAAACGAUUCUCAUGCCUCAGCCUCCCAAGUAGCUGGGAUAACAGGCACGCGCCACCACACCUGGCUAAUUUGUUUGUAUUUUUAUUAAAGACAGGAUUUCAGCAUUUUGCCCAGGCUUGUCUGGAACUUCUGGCCUCAAGUGAUCCACCCAACAUAGCCUCCCAAAGUGCUGGGAUUACAAGCGUGAGUCACUGUGCUAGGCCUAGAAGUUCUUAUAGCCCAGCUCCUUCACAUCACUGCACCUACUCUAUACCUCCUAGAGAGCAUGAACCUAUUCCAGCCCAGGCACAUGGAUGACCCACAAUUUCAGCCUUUCUUCCCUCUAUAAUACCAGAAGCAAAUGCAAAGUCCAAGUUUUCCUAAGGAGUUUUAUUGAUAGCCACCAUGGAAACCCACAUGGUCUUAUGGAAGAAUAAUGUCAGAACCCAC
rnacentral:lncRNA from 1 species